GAUGAACGCUGGCGGCGUGCCUAAUACAUGCAAGUCGAGCGAACGGACGAGAAGCUUGCUUCUCUGAUGUUAGCGGCGGACGGGUGAGUAACACGUGGAUAACCUACCUAUAAGACUGGGAUAACUUCGGGAAACCGUAGCUAAUACCGGAUAAUAUUUUGAACCGCAUGGUUCAAAAGUGAAAGACGGUCUUGCUGUCACUUAUAGAUGUAUCCGCGCUGCAUUAGCUAGUUGGUAAGGUAACGGCUUACCAAGGCAACGAUGCAUAGCCGACCUGAGAGGGUGAUCGGCCACACUGGAACUGAGACACGGUCCAGACUCCUACGGGAGGCAGCAGUAGGGAAUCUUCCGCAAUGGGCGAAAGCCUGACGGAGCAACGCCGCGUGAGUGACGAAGGUCUUCGGAUCGUAAAACUCUGUUAUUAGGGAAGAACAUAUGUGUAAGUAACUGUGCACAUCUUGACGGUACCUAAUCAGAAAGCCACGGCUAACUACGUG
rnacentral:rRNA from 1 species